AGAACAAAUAACAGCAUGUGGGUUUACAACAACAUUCAAGUCCACGAGUGUUGGAAAUAUUCCUCCAGCCUCUGCCUAAGUGGGUUUGGGAUCUGGUGGAAACGGAUGAACUCUUUCACACGGAGCAUCUGCAUGUGGUAGCGUGCCGUUCCCGAAUACAGCCGCUGGAUGAUGGCAGAAACGUUCCCAAAAAUGCUGGCGUACAUCAAAGCUGGAGAGGACAGGACAGUGUCACACAGAUGAAAGCUAAUGCCAGACUUACAUCCGAUGAGCAUGACGCAGAUGGAGAAGAUCUUCUCUGAGUUGGUGUUUGGGGACACGUUUCCAAAGCCCACGCUGGUCAGCGAGCUGAACGUGAAGUACAACGCAG